GACGAACGCUGGCGGCGUGCCUAACACAUGCAAGUCGAGCGAACAGACCAGGAGUUUGCUCCGCUGUCGUUAGCGGAGGAGGGGAGAGUCACAUGUGGAUAACCUACCUAUAAGACUGGGAUAAUUUCGGGAAACGGGCGCUUAUACGGGAUAAUAUAUUGAACCGCGUGGGUCAAUAGUGAAAGUCGGUUUUGGUGUCACUAAUAGAUGGAUCCGCGCCGCAUUGGCUAGUUGGUAAGGUCAAGGCUUAUCAAGGCAACUAUGCGUAGCCGACCUGAGAGGGGGGUCGCCCACCCUGGAAGUGAGCCGGGGACCAGACUCCUACGGUAGGCACCAGACGGGAAUCUUACGCAAGGGGGGAGAGCAUGACGGAACAACGCGGCGUGAGUUAUGACGUUGCCCCGAGCGGAAAGCUCUGUUUUUGGUUGAGAACAAAUGUGUAAUUAGCUAUGCAGUGAUUGACGGUACCUGAUCAAGAAGCCCCGGCUAACUACGUG
rnacentral:rRNA from 1 species